UGUGUUUCAAAGCCUGCUUCCUCUGGCCCUGUAAGGACUGCAGAAGGAACAUCCCACUUGCGUCUGCUGACACAAAAGAAUGCUGUGGCUGGGAGAUCUUAUCGAGCCUUCCUGUGCCACAGCAACAGAGCUCCAGUUGUGUCUCCUAAGAAUUGCUCAUUGUUUCGUGUGAGGACUAGCUCCUUUGGGUGGGAUCUGAUGGCAUCUCAUGGAGUUGGAGGUUUCCAGGAUAACUUGUGGAGACAGUGCUGUCCAUCUCUACUCCACUGACUAAGGUUUCUCUUUGAUGUUGAGUCCAGCUUUUGGAAGCCCUAUCCAAAGAAGCUUUCUUCUGUCACUUGCGAGUGAGACUGAUGCAAUCAAUGAUACUGUCUCUAGAUCUUCCUGAAAGUACUCCUGACAUAUCUCUUCUUCUGAUUGGGAUUUCUGUUUCUCUAAAUUAUUAAUUAGUCACAAUGUAUCUAAAUGUUUAUGAUUGGCCUAUAAUUAAACAGAAUGUUGUUCAUUUAAUAAUUUAGCCUUUU
rnacentral:lncRNA from 1 species